AGCCGAGAUCACGCCACUGCGCUCCAGCCUGGGCGACAGAGCAAGACUCCGUUUAAAAAAAAAACAGAAUUCCUGUCUUCUUUCCGAAACAAAGCCGCAUCAGUGCCCUCGUAGGUGGGAGGGAGCGCUUGCAGGAGGGAGCAGUGGGGCCGCUGGGACGGUUUGGGGAGCAGGUGGGGAGGGGGCAGAGGGUGCAGCGUGUGGUGGGAGGGAGGAAGCCACACUGCUAUCUUCAGGUGCUUCCAGCAGCUCCAUUUGCAAAGAGCCGAUGGGUUUAGGGAAGGAAGGAGUGCCACCCUGUGCCAAUACAGCGUAUCAGAGGUAUGUUCUCUGGGCUGUCUACUGGUUGUCUUGGGGCCCCGGGGAGGGGCAGGCCAAGCGGGCAGUACCAGGAUCGGGUCCCAGCGUGACCCGGCUUCACCCUCCCAGAACAAGAAUGUGGUGGUGGCUGACUUCGGGCUGGCGCGGCUCAUGGUGGACGAGAAGACUCAUUCUGAGGACCUGCGGAGCCUCAAGAAGCCAGACCGCAAGAAGCGCUACACCGUGGUGGGCAACCCCUACUGGAUGGCGCCCGAGAUGAUCAACGGCCGCAGCUAUGAUGAAAAGGUGGAUGUGUUCUCCUUUGGGAUCGUCCUGUGUGAGAUCAUCGGGCGGGUGAACGCAGACCCUGACUACCUGCCGCGCACCAUGGACUUCGGCCUCAACGUGCGAGGGUUCCUGGACCGCUACUGCCCCGCAAACUGCCCCCCGAGCUUCUUCCCCAUCACCGUGCGUUGUUGC
rnacentral:sRNA from 1 species